rnacentral:lncRNA from 1 species
AAAAGACCAUUUUGAAGAUAAGUAUUUUUCUAACCUAUUUGAUCUAGGUGUUCGAGUUGCCCAAUACGAGUAAUUUCAGAAGAAAAGUGAGGACGAUCGGCUGCAAUGGAGCCGAUAUAAAAAUCAAAGCAAAGGUAAGGAGAAAUCCUUGCUAGAAGAACAGUCGGUUCAAGAAGAGCCGAGCCAAUCGAUUGAAAGUGAAGAAUCGGCUGAUGAAGCCGAGAUAUAGCCACUU